UUAUCAUUUAGAGGAAGGAGAAGUCGUAACAAGGUUUCCGUAGGUGAACCUGCUAUCCUUUUGGGAUGCCUGGUCGGGGGCGGAUAUUGGUCUCCUGUUCCUCACUGAGCGGUUGGCCAAAAUAAGAGUCUCUUUUAACGGGCGCACGACAAGUGGYGGUUGACAAAACCCGGAAUCGUGUUUUGUGUCUCAUCAAAAGAGUACAUCUUAAUAGACCCAACGCGUUGUCUUAGACUACGCUUCGACCGCGACCCCAGGUCAGGCGGGACUACCCGCUGAGUUUAAGCAUACCA
rnacentral:misc_RNA from 1 species